rnacentral:rRNA from 1 species
AGCGCACUACCUUCGGGGUAAAACCAACUCCCAUGAGUGUGACUGGCGGUGUGUACNAGGCCCGGGAACGUAUUCACCGCGGCAAGCUGAUCCGCGAUUACUAUCNAACCNACUUCAUNCANUCGAGUUNCACAGUGCAAUCCGAACUGAGAUGGCUUUGGGAGAUUAGCUCACACUCGCGUGCUCGCUGCCCANUGUCACCACCAUUGUANCNCNUGUGUNNCCCACCCCGUGGGGGCCAUGANGACUUGACGUCNUCCCCACCUUCCUCUCGGCUUAUCACCGGCAGUCCCCUAAUUANUGCCCAACUANAUGCUGGCAACUAAGNGGCGAGGGUUGCGCUCNUUGCGGGGACUUAACCCAACAUCUCACNACCGAGCUGACAAA